UGAAACAAAAAGGAGAUAAUACAUGUGCAAAUUUCAUGUCUUCAUUCUGCUUCCCCCAUUUAGAUUGAUCCUCUGAAAAAGUAUCUAAGGAUAUUUGUCCCAAAUUCAGCCAUAACCUGCUCCAACAUCCCCCAUCUAUUCCCUCCAGGGUAACUCACAAAGCCCAUCCAUCAACUCUCAAGCUCACCUUUGUCAUGCAGAGUGGACCAGCCUGGAGCUACGAAUCCCCCUCCCCCAACACCCAACAUCCCAACACACACACACACACAUAUAUAUACUGCACACUAAUUUCUCAAAAGCCAAAUUAAAGUCACCGUCCAUCCACUGCCAGAAGCCCCUUUCCUCUUCCUUACUCCCAAAGGAAUCCUCGCCCUCCAUAGACAUCACCCUCCCCCCAGCUCCAUCCUCUAUCACAGACACACACUGGUCACCAUCCCACUUCUCCUCCCCUUCUCUAUUGCUCAGUAAUUAUAUUCUCCGCCUCCCAGUGUCAUGCUAAUAUAAGCUCCUGGCACAGCUGCCCAGAUUAAAUUAGAGCCCAAACCAGCAGGCUGACUAAUUAUAUUUUCUGGGAUGGAAUUGUCUUCCCCCACCUUUGGGGUACAGGGCCAAUAAAAAGUAAAUGAGCACUGCCAAUAUUUGCAGAGGAUAUUUGACUCUUCUUGCCUGGGUGGUUUUGUCUUCCCCAACCAAUCUGGGCCCUUGAAUUAGAUUACACCAGAAUGGGAGAAGAGAGUUUUACUCAAAUGACCCUUCUAAGUCCCAUCCAUUGUCCUGCAGGUCAGCUCAGCUGGGCCUGACCACCACCAUCAGGCCAAGGAAGAGAACAUAGCAUGAAACUCUUUCUCGUGAAUGAGACUCUUCUGCUACCUUUGUGAGUCCCUCCCUUGUUCCCAGCACCAAAAUCUUUCCUUCAGAUACUCACUGCAACCUGUCCUGAAAUGAUUGUUGCUGAAUUCUUUUUACUUCUGUCUCAUGUGAAAAAGAGUGUUGCUUCCCUUACAGAACACUGUUUCAAGGCUGAUUCUUCAACUUUUACCUUUCCUUAUUUAUGGCUGGAACAACAUAAAAGUUUCAAUUGUGAAAAGAAAUAUUUUAGACAAGUUAAGUUUAACAGAGUUUAAUAGAUUUUUUAAUUAAAUUUCUUUUUCUUUUUGCAGAGACAGGGUCUUGCUAUCUUGUCCAGGCUGGUCUCAAAAUCCUGGGCUCAAGCAAUGCUCCUCCUUUGACCUCUCAAAAUGCUGGAAUUACAGAGACUACACUGAGGAGUAUGACAAGUUUUCAGCUUGAGAAGGGCUUGCAUUCUGUAGGAGAAAUGAACAAACAGCAUUAAUGUUGAUGAUGCAACAUGGAACAAGUGCUAUGACAGAGAUUAAAAAACAAGUGCUUGUUCAUUUACUGGAAAGACAGAAGACCGAUUCAGCCUGGAAAGAAAAAUCCCUGAGAAGAUGGCUUUCAGAUGGAAAGGACUUGCCUUGUCUUCAAUGAGACUUUGGACUGUGGACUUUUGAGUUAAUGCAAAAAUGAGUUAAGUCUUUGGGGGACUGUUGGAAAGGCAUGAUUGGUUUUGAAAUGUGAAGACAUGAAAUUUUGGAGGGGCCGGGGUAGAAUGAUAUGAUUUGGCUGUGUCCCCACCCAAAUCUCGUCUUGAAUUCCCACGUGUUGUGGGAAGGAUCCAGUGGAAGGUAAUUGAGUCAUGGGGGCAGGUUUUCCCCAUGCUGUUCUCAUUGAUAUUGAGUCUCAGUAGAUCCGAUGGUUUUAAAAAUGGGAGUUUCCCUGCCCAAGCCCUCUUCUCUUAUCUGCUUCCAUGUGAGACAUGCCUUUCACCUUCCCUCAUGAUUGUGAGGUCUUCCCACACACGUGGAACUGUAAGUCCAUUAAAUCUCUUUCUUUUGUAAAUUGCCCAGUCUCAGGUAUGUAUUUAUCAGCAGUGUGAAAACAACUAAUACACUACCUCAUAAGGUGGUGCAAUGAUAAAAUGAUAUAUGAAAACACUUUUAAUAGCAUUUGACACAUGGUAAGUGUUCUGUAAGGAUUAGCUACAAUUUUUACUGUUAAUAAUUAGUUUCUUCUCACUGGCUUCUACCUCCCUCAAUUGAUGAGUGCUUAGGAGAGAUGGCAUGACUAGAGCACAGGCCUAAUGGAGCAGACCACCCAAAGCUACCAUGCAUGCAAGGAAACUGAACUUAAUAGAGCUUUGACUUUAAUCUGAGAAUGCUCAGUGUAGUGCUCUGUUUGGUCCUUCCAGAACACUGAAUGCACCUUGAGGAUGGUAUUUGGUUUUCAUAAUCUCUUUAUCCUAUUAUUUUUGCAGUGGUAUAAAUUAAGUCUGCAUUCUCAGGAAAUUCUCACUGCCCUCCAUCAGAUAUUUGUCAGAACUUAAGAGAGUCCUGAUUGAAGCCUUUUAAAUUCAACUUAAAGUUUGCUCCUAAGACUGGGCAAGUGUUCCUGGGGCUGAGUGUAUAAGGGGAGAGUUGGUGGAAGCCAGUGUGGUAAUCUUUUCAUGAAAGAGUCAUAUCAGCUUAUAUAUAUAUUCCAGUGAUUGGUGAUGUAGGGGGUGGCUAUCAGAUCCUUUCCUGAAAAUAAAUUUGGCUAUGAGUGGGGAAUAGGAUUUUAAAGAUAGCAUAUUUUAAUUAUGUUUUAAAAUCAAUUUCGCAUUCACAAGUUACAUAUGAAUAGAUUAUACUUGUGUAAAAAAAAAAACAAUUUCCCUCAAUAACUACCUGAUCUCAAUGUAUUUCAUGCCAGUUCUGAGAUUUCCUGAGAUAAAGACCCACUGUUCUCAGUUCGUGUGUGUGUAUAUGUGUAUCUGUAAAUUAUAUGUAUUAUUUGAUGCAUGUGUAUACAUUAAAAAAAUAAGUAUAUCAUAUUGAACCUAUAGUUCUAUAAUGGUUUUAUAUUUCCCCCUAAGCAUGUUAGUAUAUGUGGUAUAUUUUUGUUAGUAUAGAUAAAUGGCAUAUCUUACUUUGGCUAAACCACUGGUCACUUAAUGUAUUGAUAAUAAACUUUUUCAUUAUUAAAAACAAUGCUGCAAUUAAUAUCUCUGAUACAUAAUAGCUCCCUGGGCACAUUAUGUUAGAAAGUCAGACACAGAGAAG
rnacentral:lncRNA from 10 species